GAUGAACGCUGGCGGCGUGCCUAAUACAUGCAAGUCGAGCGAACAGACGAGGAGCUUGCUCCUCUGACGUUAGCGGCGGACGGGUGAGUAACACGUGGAUAACCUACCUAUAAGACUGGGAUAACUUCGGGAAACCGGAGCUAAUACCGGAUAAUAUAUUGAACCGCAUGGUUCAAUAGUGAAGGACGGUUUUGAUGUCACUUAUAGAUGGAUCCGCGCCGCAUUAGCUAGUUGGUAAGGUAACGGCUUACCAAGGCGACGAUGCGUAGCCGACCUGAGAGGGUGAUCGGCCACACUGGAACUGAGACACGGUCCAGACUCCUACGGGAGGCCGCAGUAGGGAAUCUUCCGCAAUGGGCGAAAGCCUGACGGAGCAACGCCGCGUGAGUGAUGAAGGUCUUCGGAUCGUAAAACUCUGUUAUUAGGGAAGAACAAAUGUGUAAGUAACUAUGCACGUCUUGACGGUACCUAAUCAGAAAGCCACGGCUAACUACGUG
rnacentral:rRNA from 1 species